GACGAACGCUGGCGGCGUGCUUAACACAUGCAAGUCGAACGGAAAGGCCCUGCUUGCAGGGUACUCGAGUGGCGAACGGGUGAGUAACACGUGGGUGAUUUGCCCUGCACUUCGGGAUAAGCCUGGGAAACUGGGUCUAAUACCGGAUAGGAGCCAUUUUUAGUGUGAUGGUUGGAAAGUUUUUUCGGUGUAGGAUGAGCUCGCGGCCUAUCAGCUUGUUGGUGGGGUAAUGGCCUACCAAGGCGGCGACGGGUAGCCGGCCUGAGAGGGUGGACGGCCACAUUGGGACUGAGAUACGGCCCAGACUCCUACGGGAGGCAGCAGUGGGGAAUAUUGCACAAUGGGCGCAAGCCUGAUGCAGCGACGCCGCGUGGGGGAGGACGGCCUUCGGGUUGUAAACUCCUUUCGCUAGGGACGAAGCUUUUUGUGACGGUACCUAGAUAAGAAGCACCGGCUAACUACGUG
rnacentral:rRNA from 1 species